UGUGAAAACGCCCUUUAGUCCCCCCUAAGGGAAAAGGAGCUGGUAUCAGGCACCGAAAAAUCUGCCCAAAACACCUAGCUACCGCCACACCCACAAGGGAACUCAAGCAGUGAUUUGACCUUGAACAUAAGCGACAGCUUGACUCAGUCAAAGUAAGAAGAGCCGGCUAAUCUGGGGCCAGCCGCCGCGGUUACACCAUGUGGCUCAAAUUGACUUCUAUCGGCGUAAAGCGGUGAUUAAAGUUUUCUGAAUCUUUGGGGGUUAAACUAAAACUAAGCCGUGACACGCUUGAAACUAAGAAACCCGAAACGAAAGUUGCCCCAAUUAAAUCAACUUGAACUCACGACAACUGGGGCACAAACUGGGAUUAGAUACCCCACUAUGCCUAGUCGUAAACUUUAAAUUACAACCUCAUCGCCUGAGAACUACGAGCUAAGCUUAAAACUCAAAGGACUUGACGGUACCCCAAAUCCCUCUAGAGGAGCCUGUCCUAUAAUUGAUAAUCCCCGUUUGACCUCACCAUUUUUAGCUAAUCAGCCUGUAUACCUCCGUCGUCAGCUUACCCCGUGAGCGAAAUUUAGUGAGCUUAACGCACAUACACCAAUACGUCAGGUCAAGGUGCAGC
rnacentral:rRNA from 1 species